rnacentral:lncRNA from 1 species
AUGCUCGACAUAAAACAAACACUCUCAAACUCUAAGGUAAGAAAGUAUCGGCUUAUGCCUAGUCCAUAUCUCAUAUCGAGUCUUUGCGACUGAUUAAUUUAGAAUUUAGUUUAGAACAUAAUAAAUAGUCUCAAGAGCAUAACCUUAAAAGGAGACUAAUAGGCUUUUAAACCCCAUCAUAGAUCGAAUUAUAUCUAACAAAGUCGAUUUCAACAGGAGAGAAUCCUAUUCUUUUCUAAAUAUGUCAAAACUUACUUGAAAUACAUUCUCCUCUUUGGUCU